CCCACACUGAUUAUAUUCUUUUAGAAUUGUUAUAUUUUGAUGAUUUACAUUAACGAUGAUGUUACCUGUUCUGUUUGUGAUUGUUUCACUGGAUACAGUUUCUAAGAGAGAUUUUUUGUGCUUUACUGUGCCAAAUGAUUUUUGCUGAUAUUUGUGAUUGUUUCACUGGAUAUAGUUUCUAAGAGAUAUAAUGUUUGGUUUUUUUAACGUAUAAAAUCCCCUAUUUGAGAGCUUCAAAAUCCACUCAGACUCAGACUGCCCCUGCGUUUGUUUCUGUUUGUCACUGCUGAAUCCUUACCUAGCUUCAAGGACCCACAUUCCAGGGACCCUCAUACCCAACUUGGGUGGUCUGUGACACAGAAGAAAAAUUACCUUUUGGCACUUGCACGAUCUUUAGCAUUCACCAGGAAAGCUUAACCAAGCACUACAAGAACUGAUAACAACCAAAGGAAUCCUAGUCCACAGACAAUAAGUGUAAGUUUAUGGGAGAUGUUAAUGAGACAGAUAUAUCUUAUUAAUAUUUUUAUUUUGAUAAAAAUAUGUUGUCCAGAUGUAAGAUGUCAGAGUUUGGCUCACUCUAGUGCCUACCUACAGCCAAGGGAGACCAGCCAUGAAGGUUGAUUGUGGAAUCAUUUCUGGAGAAUAACCUUUGAGGUUGAAGGAAAAUGAGGAGUCUAAUGGAAGGGGCCUUUGUGAGCCUAUGAAGAAAGACUGAUGGACUUUGGACAUUUUAAUUCUUUCACAACACCAGUCAAGGACUGGCUUUCCUCUGUAGACCUGUCAUUUGGAAUUUUUAAAGAUGAUCUUUGGUUGGUUGCCUCAAUACCUUCCCCAAAUACAGCUGGAGGAAGCAAGAUACGCUGUUGCCUCAAUCCUGGUAAGGUUGCCUCUUCAGAGGGGCUGGGUUUGAAAACAGGAGACUUCCUGUUCUUUGGCUAGGCAGCUUAGGAAAAAAAAAAGACCUCAAAGGAAAGGAACAUGUUUCUUACCAAUUAAGGGCUGGAAUGUCACUAGAACUAUUAACAAGUUCAUCCUUACCGGAGUUCAAAGAUGCCAAAAGUGUCUUCAGAGCUGUGAUCUCUGAGCUAAGUGCUUUUAGGGACUUUAUGAAGGGGUAAGGUAGUAAUGAAAUCUUGUCAAUAGAAAAAGCUCCAUGAACAAGAGAACAGAAUUUCUGGCCUGGGUAUAGGUCUAACAUUCUAAUGGGGACAAAUCAAUAUCUUGGCAAAGGAACCAUCCCUAUGAAUCAGGGGACUUACUUUGAACUAUACCAAUGAAGUAGAUGGAAUAAUACUUUUUUGUACUAGAGAUUUGUGUCAGGAUUAUGGAUUCAGCUAAUACUAAUCAGGGUCUCAAGAUGGACUCACUUGUCAGAAUGGGGAGGGUACUUCUAGUUCGCUAUGCUGCAGGCU
rnacentral:lncRNA from 1 species